GACAGAGGGUGCAAACGUUGUUCGGAAUUACUGGGCGUAAAGCGUGCGUAGUCGGCUUUUCAAGUCGGGUGUGAAAGCCCCGGGCUCAACCUGGGAAUUGCAUUCGAUACUGGAUGGCUAGAGUUCGGCAGAGGGAAGUGGAAUUUCCGGUGUAGCGGUGAAAUGCGUAGAUAUCGGAAGGAACAUCAGUGGCGAAAGCGACUUCCUGGACCAGAACUGACGAUCAGGCACGAAAGCCAGGGGAGCAAACGGG
rnacentral:rRNA from 1 species